CAGCGGGUUCCCAGGUGAACUGAAAUCCAGAGCUAUUCUCAUCUGGUUGCCCUGGGAAUUUCAGCGCUGUCGGUACAACCUGUUCCUCCAUCCUCCCCACUCCUUCCCUCCCUCCGCUGGGCUGCACCCUUCUCAGCCCCUCCUCUCCCUUGCUAGGGGCCCCAGCUGCGCCCUCCGGGGAGACACUCGCUGCCACGAGACCCGGGAGGGGAAGCGGGAGGAGGGGGAGAGGAGGGGGAAGGCGGGGGAGGCGCCGAGGGUGGAGGCCAAGCGCGGCGCAGCCAGAGAGGGGCGGCUGAAGGUUGCAUCUGCUGGAAGGAGGCUUUUCGGCUGCUUGGUAACGGGCUGCCAGAAGAGAGAGAGGCAGAGAGCAGGGCAGCGGCUUCUUGACGUCAGGGCCAAGCGAGGGGAUCGCGCCAGCAACCCCAGCUCUCCCCAGAGAGGGGCCGGCCGACCGCUGGAGCGGAGCCUGACACCAGGCGCCCGCGGAGCGUGAGUAGGGGGCGCGGGAGCCGGUCAGCUGGGGCGCAGCAUGCCCUCUGCUCCCGCGCCAUGGAGAUCGCCCUGGUGCCCCUGGAGAACGGCGGUGCCAUGACCGUCAGAGGAGGCGAUGAGGCCCGGGCAAGCUGCGGCCAGGCCACAGGGGGAGAGCUCCAGUGUCCCCCGACGGCUGGGCUCAGCGAUGGGCCCAAGGAGCCGGCGCCAAAGGGGCGCGGCGCGCAGAGAGACGCGGACUCGGGAGUGCGGCCCUUGCCUCCGCUGCCGGAGGAGCUGCCACGGCCUCGACGGCCGCCUCCCGAGGACGAGGAGGAAGAAGGCGAUCCCGGCCUGGGCACCGUGGAGGACCAGGCUCUGGGCACGGCGUCCCUGCACCACCAGCGCGUCCACAUCAACAUCUCCGGGCUGCGCUUUGAGACGCAGCUGGGCACCCUGGCGCAGUUCCCCAACACACUCCUGGGGGACCCCGCCAAGCGCCUGCGCUACUUCGACCCCCUGAGGAACGAGUACUUCUUCGACCGCAACCGGCCCAGCUUCGACGGUAUCCUCUACUACUAUCAGUCCGGGGGCCGCCUGCGGAGGCCGGUCAACGUCUCCCUGGACGUGUUCGCGGACGAGAUACGCUUCUACCAGCUGGGGGACGAGGCCAUGGAGCGCUUCCGCGAGGAUGAGGGCUUCAUUAAAGAAGAGGAGAAGCCCCUGCCCCGCAACGAGUUCCAGCGCCAGGUGUGGCUUAUCUUCGAGUAUCCGGAGAGCUCUGGGUCCGCGCGGGCCAUCGCCAUCGUCUCGGUCUUGGUUAUCCUCAUCUCCAUCAUCACCUUCUGCUUGGAGACCCUGCCCGAGUUCAGGGAUGAACGUGAGCUGCUCCGCCACCCUCCGGCGCCUCACCAGCCUCCCGCGCCCGCCCCUGGGGCCAACGGCAGCGGGGUCAUGGCGCCGCCCUCUGGCCCUACGGUGGCACCGCUCCUGCCCAGGACCCUGGCCGACCCCUUCUUCAUCGUGGAGACCACGUGCGUCAUCUGGUUCACCUUCGAGCUGCUCGUGCGCUUCUUCGCCUGCCCCAGCAAGGCAGGGUUCUCCCGGAACAUCAUGAACAUCAUCGAUGUGGUGGCCAUCUUCCCCUACUUCAUCACCCUGGGCACCGAACUGGCAGAGCAGCAGCCAGGGGGCGGAGGAGGCGGCCAGAAUGGGCAGCAGGCCAUGUCCCUGGCCAUCCUCCGAGUCAUCCGCCUGGUCCGGGUGUUCCGCAUCUUCAAGCUCUCCCGCCACUCCAAGGGGCUGCAGAUCCUGGGCAAGACCUUGCAGGCCUCCAUGAGGGAGCUGGGGCUGCUCAUCUUCUUCCUCUUCAUCGGGGUCAUCCUCUUCUCCAGUGCCGUCUACUUCGCAGAGGCUGACAACCAGGGGACCCAUUUCUCUAGCAUCCCUGACGCCUUCUGGUGGGCAGUGGUCACCAUGACCACUGUGGGCUACGGGGACAUGAGGCCCAUCACUGUUGGGGGCAAGAUCGUGGGCUCUCUGUGUGCCAUCGCCGGGGUCCUCACCAUUGCUCUGCCUGUGCCCGUCAUCGUCUCCAACUUCAACUACUUCUACCACCGGGAAACGGAUCACGAGGAGCCGGCAGUCCUUAAGGAAGAGCAGGGCACUCAGAGCCUGGGGCCGGGGCUGGACAGAGGAGUCCAGCGGAAGGUCAGCGGAAGCAGGGGAUCCUUCUGCAAGGCUGGGGGGACCCUGGAGAAUGCAGACAGUGCCCGAAGGGGCAGCUGCCCCCUAGAGAAGUGUAACGUCAAGGCCAAGAGCAACGUGGACUUGCGGAGGUCCCUUUAUGCCCUCUGCCUGGACACCAGCCGGGAAACAGAUUUGUGAAAGGAGAUUCAGGCAGACUGGUGGCAGUGGAGUAGGGAAUGGGAGGCUUGCUGAACAUGGAUAUCUACAUUAUACCGCAGAGUAUUUGAAGUCACACUGUAACCUCAGUCUACCCCUCUCCUUUCACUCCUUUCCUCCCUCCCUCGAUCCCCCCAUUUUCUCUAUUCUUUCCAUGACACCCAAGGGUCGCCUAUUUUUAAAAAGUACCACAUUCCAUGACGCAGGAGCUGUGGAAAUGGGACACCUUUCUUCAAGUCCCCUCCAGAAGUGGCAGAUUUGUGCACAGUGGAUAUUGACCCCGGGUGAGGAACAAGCAUUCUUCUCUUGUUUGACCUCAGUGGCACAGAUCUACUCAGCAGCUACUCUGGGCCCAGCACUCUCCUGCGUGUGGAAGGACAUACUGGGAAAAAUAUUAGGAUGUGAUUCCUGCCUUCAUAUAGCUGAAGUCUCACAGGUAUAAAGCAAAAGCAAGUCAUGCAAGAUAAUGUGUGUCCAUGUACCUUGAAGGGGGUUCCAAAAUGGAGCUAUGUGGAACAGAAGUGGGAGUGAGAGAAUCAGUGAGGAUGAGUGUAGAAGAGAAAAGCUGCUGCAGGCCUUGCAGUGAGGCUGGGAAGAAAGGAGGGCAUGUCGGAUGAGGGCAGGGAGGGCAGUGGCUCUGAGGAGAAUCGCUGCUGUGUCCCCAUCACUGUCUUCUGGGAUGGAGUCCAGAGUUCAAGAUCGGUGACUGUAGUAGGAGCUCCAAUUUUACCAGUAGCUGGGGGAUGCGGCAAUUGUUCAGGGGAGGGGUUGGCAGCAUUUCUGAAAGAGCCAGAAAGUAAAUAUUCUAGGCUUUGUAGGCCAAGAGGCAAAAUUGAGGCUAUUGUGUAGCUACUUAUAUAACCAUAUACAAUGUAAUCUUUUAAAAAUGUGAACACUUAGCCUCAGCUCCAGAGCUGUACAUCCCUGUCACGUCAGUUCACCAGUUAAUCAGUCACACAGAGGCUGCCUCCUGGGUAUCCAGUCAUGCCUGCGAAGCCCUGAUCUGUCUCCCCUGAUCUGACUUUGCUCAGUUCAACUUGCGUUUAUUGCAAAUGCCAAUCUUUGGUUUGGGGAGGAGGUCGCAUGCUGCCAUUUCCUAGCCCACGGUAGACCUGGGAAGAAAGAUUUAGCUUGCUUCUA